CUAGAACUCUAUCUAAUUAGGGGAACAGUCACUUCAAAGGUCCCAGCCCAAAUGUGGCAGAAGGUGAGUGAGUGCUGGGUCAGAGUGGACAAGGAAGAGUCCCAGCUGGCUCCAGCGAGCCUCCCUCCCCCUUCCCUGUCAGGGGCGCCUCCAGGUACAGAGAAAGCCAGACUAACCACUACUAGUCUGGGCGAGCUGUCAGCCAUCUGGGUCAAAUGAUGAACUGUGAGAUGAACAAGACUUGGAACCAAGUUCUUUCUUCAAGGUGUCCAGAAGAUCCCACCUCAGCCCUGCAGGGCAAUGUGUGGAUACCGGAGGAGUGAACACUAGGUUAGGCAGGUUGGGAAGAAGGGAAGCAUCGACCACGGGCAGCCUCCUCUCACGGACAGUGCCACCGAGACCUUCUGUCAGCAGCCUCAUGCUUGGCUAGGGCUGCACGGGAGACGUGAACAGCACCAGGAGAGCCCUCCAUCCCCACAAGAUUGAGAAACCGAGGCACAGCAUUGUGCAACUCUUCUGUGCCACUUGGAUUGGAAGCUGAAUCCAGAGAGAGGGGCAGAGAUGGCUUUCAACACUGGGACAGGCAAGAGAGACGACAAGAUGAAGCUUAGAUGCCUCUGAGGUUCUAGGCACCAGCAUGAUGUUCAGGGUCGCUUGGGAAGUGUGGAUCUGGCUCUCGGGGCCCAUCACGGGGGCCUUGAAACAGUCACAUAGUACUUAGAGCAUGAAGCAGCUACCAUAAAAUAUCUUUUCACUCCAAUUACUUUUCAG
rnacentral:lncRNA from 1 species